GAUGAACGCUGGCGGCGUGCCUAAUACAUGCAAGUCGAGCGAACAGACGAGGAGCUUGCUCCUCUGACGUUAGCGGCGGACGGGUGAGUAACACGUGGAUAACCUACCUAUAAGACUGGGAUAACUUCGGGAAACCGGAGCUAAUACCGGAUAAUAUAUUGAACCGCAUGGUUCAAUAGUGAAAGACGGUUUUGCUGUCACUUAUAGAUGUAUCCGCGCCGCAUUAGCUAGUUGGUAAGGUAACGGCUUACCAAGGCGACGAUGCGUAGCCGACCUGAGAGGGUGAGCGGCCACACUGGAACUGAGACACGGUCCAGACUCCUACGGGAGGCAGCAGUAGGGAAUCUUCCGCAAGGGGCGAAAGCCUGACGGAGCAACGCCGCGUGAGUGAUGAAGGUCUUCGGAUCGUAAAACUCUGUUAUUAGGGAAGAACAAAUGUGUAAGUAACUAUGCACGUCUUGACGGUACCUAAUCAGAAAGCCACGGCUAACUACGUG
rnacentral:rRNA from 1 species